AGUCCUUGUGAGGCUGUUUCCUUACCCUUUGAUGAGGUGUAGUCACAGCUUCAGAGGCUCCCCGCAAAGUUUUUGUCAUCGGUGAUGGAACACAAGAUGUAAGAGCUGAAGAGUUAUGAACACAAAUGUGAAACCUUGCCUACUGGAGCUGCCACUAGAAAGCCCGCCAACAUGGCAUUGGGACUAAUAUAAUCAAAGUCUCCCACCCCUAAACAGAGAAAAACAAAAUACAGCAUAUGGCCAAAGUGAUUUAUCUUUAUACUUUUUUUUAAUCUUUAAAAGAUAUUUAUUGCCCUAUAAUAUACCUACAGAAAAAUGCACUGACCCUCAGUGUACAUGAGAUUCUUUCAUAAAUUUCAUGUGUACAUGCGUACUUCAAGUGUACGUGAAAUGACCUCUGUUUAUAUUCCAUCACAAUGCCUGGACAAGACUUACUUAAUAUAAGUGAAAAAAAUCA
rnacentral:lncRNA from 1 species